rnacentral:rRNA from 1 species
GAUGAACGCUGGCGGCGUGCUUAACACAUGCAAGUCGAGCGAAGCACUUAAGUCUGAUUCUUCGGAUGAAGACUUUUGUGACUGAGCGGCGGACGGGUGAGUAACGCGUGGGUAACCUGCCUCAUACAGGGGGAUAACAGUUAGAAAUGACUGCUAAUACCGCAUAAGACCACGGUACCGCAUGGUACAGUGGUAAAAACUCCGGUGGUAUGAGAUGGACCCGCGUCUGAUUAGGUAGUUGGUGGGGUAACGGCCUACCAAGCCGACGAUCAGUAGCCGACCUGAGAGGGUGACCGGCCACAUUGGGACUGAGACACGGCCCAGACUCCUACGGGAGGCAGCAGUGGGGAAUAUUGCACAAUGGAGGAAACUCUGAUGCAGCGACGCCGCGUGAAGGAUGAAGUAUUUCGGUAUGUAAACUUCUAUCAGCAGGGAAGAAAAUGACGGUAC